GUAGGUGGCAAGCGUUGUCCGGAAUUAUUGGGCGUAAAGCGCGCGCAGGCGGUUCUUUAAGCCUGAUGUGAAAGCCCACGGCUCAACCGUGGAGGGUCAUUGGAAACUGGAGAACUUGAGUACAGAAGAGGAAAGCGGAAUUCCACGUGUAGCGGUGAAAUGCGUAGAGAUGUGGAGGAACACCAGUGGCGAAGGCGGCUUUCUGGUCUGUAACUGACGCUGAGGCGCGAAAGCGUGGGGGAGCAAACAGGAUUAGAUACCCUGGUAGUCCACGCCGUAAACGAUGAGUGCUAAGUGUUAGGGGGUUUUCCGCCCCUUAGUGCUGCAGCUAACGCAUUAAGCACUCCGCCUGGGAGUACGGCCGCAAGGCUG
rnacentral:rRNA from 1 species